rnacentral:pre_miRNA from 1 species
GUGUGGUGUCAAAACAGGAAGUGUGUGUAAGGGGACUUUCUCCCCUUACACACACUUCCUGUUUUGACAACACAUAA